rnacentral:rRNA from 1 species
AUUGAACGCUGGCGGCGGGCCUAACACAUGCAAGUCGAACGGCAGCACAGAAGAGCUUGCUCUUUGGGUGGCGAGUGGCGGACGGGUGAGUAAUGUCUGGGAAACUGCCCGAUGGAGGGGGAUAACUACUGGAAACGGUAGCUAAUACCGCAUAACGUCGCAAGACCAAAGCGGGGGACCUUCGGGCCUCACACCAUCGGAGGUGCCCAGAUGGGAGUAGCUAGUAGGUGGGGUAACGGCCCACCUAGGCGACGAUCCCUAGCUGGUCUGAGAGGAGGAACAGCCAACAUGGAACUUAGACACGGUCCAGACUCCUACGGGAGGCAGCAGUGGGGAAUAUUGCACAAUGGGCGCAAGCCUGAUGCAGCCAUGCCGCGUGUAUGAAGAAGGCCUUCGGGUUGUAAAGUACUUUCAGCGGGGAGGAAGGCGAUGUGGUUAAUAACCGCGUCGAUUGACGUUACCCGCAGAAGAAGCACCGGCUAACUCCGUGCCAGCAGCCGCCGUAA